UAAGGAAUAUUGGUCAAUGGACGAAAGUCUGAACCAGCCAUGCCGCGUGCAGGAUGACGGCCCUACGGGUUGUAAACUGCUUUUAUACGGGAAGAAUCCCCUGUACGUGUACAGGGUUGACGGUACCGUACGAAUAAGCAUCGGCUAACUCCGUGCCAGCAGCCGCGGUAAUACGGAGGAUGCAAGCGUUAUCCGGAUUCAUUGGGUUUAAAGGGUGCGUAGGCGGAAUGAUAAGUUAGUGGUGAAAUCCCCCGGCUCAACCGGGGAACUGCCAUUAAUACUGUUAUUCUUGAGUAUAGUUGAAGUGGGCGGAAUGUAUCAUGUAGCGGUGAAAUGCUUAGAUAUGAUACAGAACACCAAUAGCGUAGGCAGCUUGCUAAACUAUAACUGACGCUCAGGCACGAAAGCGUGGGGAGCAAACA
rnacentral:rRNA from 1 species